GGUUUUAAACAAUCACUGGAAAGCUCAUUCAGCCCAGUAGCCUCCAGGAAGGUGGAGCCCCUGCCUAAGAGAAGAGACCAAAGUUCCAGGUGAAGAGCCAGCUGUCCUGUUGCUAAUUGCCCUGUGCAGAGAUCCAUAUGGAAAUGAACUGAGCGAGGCCUCCAGCCAAUAGUCAGCAAAGAAUUGAGAACCUCAGAGUCCACAAGGAACUGAAUCCUAACAAGCAAGUGAAGUCUCCCAGAAGGAUGAAAAGGAGAAUCCUCCCAUUUAUACAUAUCCGAUGCUUUCCCCAAAUGAAAUCUGCUUUUCCAACUAUUCAAGAAACCAGCUCAUUAUCAACAAGAUAAGAAAUAACAAGUG